rnacentral:rRNA from 1 species
GACGAACGCUGGCGGCGUGCCUAAUACAUGCAAGUCGAGCGCAGGAAAUCGACGGAACCCUUCGGGGGGAAGUCGACGGAAUGAGCGGCGGACGGGUGAGUAACACGUAAAGAACCUGCCCUCAGGUCUGGGAUAACCACGAGAAAUCGGGGCUAAUACCGGAUGGGUCAUCGGACCGCAUGGUCCGAGGAUGAAAGGCGCUUCGGCGUCGCCUGAUGAUGGCUUUGCGGUGCAUUAGCUAGUUGGUGGGGUAAUGGCCCACCAAGGCGACGAUGCAUAGCCGACCUGAGAGGGUGAUCGGCCACACUGGGACUGAGACACGGCCCAGACUCCUACGGGAGGCAGCAGUAGGGAAUCUUCCACAAUGGACGAAAGUCUGAUGGAGCAACGCCGCGUGAACGAUGAAGGCCUUCGGGUCGUAAAGUUCUGUUGUAAGGGAAGAACAAGUGCCGCAGGCAAUGGCGGCACCUUGACGGUACCUUGCGAGAAAGCCACGGCUAACUACGUGCCAGCAGCCGCCGUAA